rnacentral:rRNA from 1 species
AGUGAACGCUGGCGGUAGGCCUAACACAUGCAAGUCGAACGGCAGCACAGUAAGAGCUUGCUCUUACGGGUGGCGAGUGGCGGACGGGUGAGGAAUACAUCGGAAUCUACUUUUUCGUGGGGGAUAACGUAGGGAAACUUACGCUAAUACCGCAUACGACCUACGGGUGAAAUCAGGGGAUCUUCGGACCUUGCGCGAUUGAAUGAGCCGAUGUCGGAUUAGCUAGUUGGCGGGGUAAAGGCCCACCAAGGCGACGAUCCGUAGCUGGUCUGAGAGGAUGAUCAGCAACACUGGAACUGAGCAACGGUCCAGACUCCUACGGGAGGCAGCAGUGGGGAAUAUUGGACAAUGGGCGAAAGCCUGAUCCAGCCAUACCGCGGGGGUGAAGAAGGCCUUCGGGUUGUAAAGCCCUUUUGUUGGGAAAGAAAAGCAGCAGGUUAAUACCCCGCUGUUCUGACGGUACCCAAAGAAUAAGCACCGGCUAACUUCGU